AUACCCUGGUAGUCACGCCGUAAACGAUGUCGACUUGGAGGUUGUGCCCUUGAGGCGUGGCUUCCGGAGCUAACGCGUUAAGUCGACCGCCUGGGGAGUACGGCCGCAAGGUUAAAACUCAAAUGAAUUGACGGGGGCCCGCACAAGCGGUGGAGCAUGUGGUUUAAUUCGAUGCAACGCGAAGAACCUUACCUGGUCUUGACAUCCACGGAACUUUUCAGAGAUGGGAAUGUGCCUUCGGGAACCGUGAGACAGGUGCUGCAUGGCUGUCGUCAGCUCGUGUUGUGAAAUGUUGGGUUAAGUCCCGCAACGAGCGCAACCCUUAUCCUUUGUUGCCAGCGGUCCGGCCGGGAACUCAAAGGAGACUGCCAGUGAUAAACUGGAGGAAGGUGGGGAUGACGUCAAGUCAUCAUGGCCCUUACGACCAGGGCUACACACGUGCUACAAUGGCGCAUACAAAGAGAAGCGACCUCGCGAGAGCAAGCGGACCUCAUAAAGUGCGUCGUAGUCCGGAUUGGAGUCUGCAACUCGACUCCAUGAAGUCGGAAUCGCUAGUAAUCGUGGAUCAGAAUGCCACGGUGAAUACGUUCCCGGGCCUUGUACACACCGCCCGUCACACCAUGGGAGUGGGUUGCAAAAGAAGUAGGUAGCU
rnacentral:rRNA from 1 species